rnacentral:misc_RNA from 1 species
UUUCCGUAGGUGAACCAGCGGAAGGAUCAUUAUUGUGUACCCUAAGUCAUAGGGCUUUCGCUAACCCGAUACCUCGUGCACGCCCGAGUGCCCUCACACACAUCCAUCGCAUCCCUAUGUACAACACCGCUUCGGUCCCGCUGAUACUUGUGCGUGGGGUGGCCGACGUUUUAACACUAUCUUUAUCGGCAGUGUAGGAUGUAGUUUCUGUUUUUACGACCACGCAAUCAAUACACCUUCCAACAACCGAUCUCUUGCCUCCCGCAUCGAUGAAGAACC